rnacentral:rRNA from 1 species
UACGUAGGGACCGAGCGUUGUCCGGAUUUAUUGGGCGUAAAGAGCUCGUAGGCGGCUGUCCAAGUCGGGUGUGAAAACUCGGAGCUCAACUCCGAGCCUGCAUUCGAUACUGGACGGCUAGAGUCUGGUAGGGGGAUCUGGAACUCCUGGUGUAGCGGUGGAAUGCGCAGAUAUCAGGAAGAACACCGGUGGCGAAGGCGGGAUCCUGGGCCAGUACUGACGCUGAGGAGCGAAAGCGUGGGGAGCAAACAGG